rnacentral:rRNA from 1 species
GGACUACAGGGGUAUCUAAUCCUGUUUGCUCCCCACGCUUUCGUGCCUCAGUGUCAGUUACAGUUUUGUGAGCUGCCUUCGCAAUUGGUGUUCUGUGUCAUAUCUAAGCAUUUCACCGCUACACGACACAUUCCGCUCACAUCAAAUGUACUCAAGAAUGACAGUAUCAAUGGCAGUUCUAUAGUUGAGCUACAGUAUUUCACCACUGACUUGACAUUCCACCUACGCACCCUUUAAACCCAGUGAAUCCGGAUAACGCUUGGAUCCUCCGUAUUACCGCGGCUGCUGGCAC